GUGGAGCAGGGUCAUGGAGUGAUGGCGCCGUGUGGAAUCUGCCGUAGGGAAUGGAGCAGAAUCGCGGCCGUUACUGCAGUGCGCCAGGGGGCGAAGGUCUACCGGCUGAAGUCCGAUGGGAGUGUCUGGCGGAGAGAGGUAGUUAGCCAUCUGUCCAAGAGGAGCUUGGAAUCCAGCUUUCACAGGAGUUCGGAUGGAGUUUCCCUUCAGUC
rnacentral:lncRNA from 1 species